rnacentral:rRNA from 1 species
CCCUUAGAUGUCCUGGGCCGCACGCGCGCUACACUGAGUGUCUGAGAUACGAGUCUGCCUGGUCCGGCAGGGUCUAGGUAAUCGCUAAAAGACACAUCAUGCUUGGGAUAGAUUAUUGCAAAUAUUAAUCUUGAACGAGGAAUUCCUAGUAAGCGCAAGUCAACAGCUUGCGUUGAUUACGUCCCUGCCCUUUGUACACACCGCCCGUCGCUACUACUGAUUGGAUGUUUAAGCGAGGUUCUCGAACUGCUAGCGACUUAGCUUCGGUGAGGUCGCAGUGUGGGAAGUGAACCUAGCUUUGGUGUCUAGAGGAAGUAAAAGUCGUAACA